rnacentral:rRNA from 1 species
CAGUGGGGAAUAUUGGACAAUGGGCGCAAGCCUGAUCCAGCAAUGCCGCGUGUGUGAAGAAGGCCUUCGGGUUGUAAAGCACUUUUAUCAGGAGCGAAACGCUGUCGGCUAAUACCCGGCGGAACUGACGGUACCUGAGGAAUAAGCACCGGCUAACUUCGUGCCAGCAGCCGCGGUAAUACGAAGGGUGCAAGCGUUAAUCGGAAUUACUGGGCGUAAAGCGUGCGUAGGCGGUUUGUUAAGUCUGUUGUGAAAUCCCCGGGCUCAACCUGGGAAUGGCAAUGGAUACUGGCAAGCUAGAGUGUGAUAGAGGAUGGUGGAAUUCCCGGUGUAGCGGUGAAAUGCGUAGAGAUCGGGAGGAACAUCAGUGGCGAAGGCGGCCAUCUGGAUCAACACUGACGCUGAGGCACGAAAGCGUGGGGAGCAAACAGGAUUAGA